rnacentral:rRNA from 1 species
UACGUAGGGUCCAAGCGUUACUCGGAAUUACUGGGCGUAAAGCGUGCGCAGGCGGUUCUGUAAGUCAGCUGUGAAAGCCCCGGGCUUAACCUGGGAAUUGCGGUUGAAACUACAGGGCUAGAAUCUGGCAGAGGGGGGUGGAAUUCCACGUGUAGCAGUGAAAUGCGUAGAGAUGUGGAGGAACACCGAUGGCGAAGGCAGCCCCCUGGGCUGAGAUUGACGCUCAGGCACGAAAGCGUGGGGAGCAAACAGG